ACUGCAAGCAUCUACUGAUGUCACCAGUGAAGUAAAUAAAAACAGCAUUUGUUGAACUUUACGCCUCUCAGUGUCUGCAGUUAGUUUAGCUGAAUCAAUGCAAAGAUAUUUCUAUUUUUCUACAUGACAGGAAUGUCAGUGAAAUCCAAAUGCUAAGAAUAAACAAGUGAUCUGCCUGGUCACAGAUCCCACUUUAAUCCAAAAUAAAGACUUUGCAAGGAAAUGAACUUGAAAUAUGAGCCACCAGUAAGUUGUGAUCAGACAGAAGGGCCUGUAUUUUAUCUUUGGAGAAGUUUAACAUGUAAGUUUGUGCAGCUGAUCAGUGGUGAGGCCUGUGGAUGACUGGAGAUGUGUGUGGACACUUAGACGAAGCAGCAAAUGUGUUGAAAAUGAGUUGUCUUCUCAGAGUCUUGAAGAUGUUUUGUCAGAGCUAAGAAAGAAGUAAGAGAUCCUGCAGGUGAUUGUUGAGUGGUGUUGAGGAAUUUGAAUGUAGAGGAAUAGCAAAGAGAUUUUGAAGAUAUUUAAGCCAUAAGUUGUAUUUUAUUUGUUUGCUGUUCUCUCCCAUUUGUAGUGAAGAGAAGUGAUUUGACAUGAAGAAUGUGAUUUGUGUGGCUUUGAAAUUGUGUUAAAAUGUAAAAAUGAGUGAUGAGGAGAAGAGUGUGACUUUUUAGUAUUGUGUUUUUUAGCGUGUUCUUUAAAAGUUGUAGGUAGAUUAUCUUCUUUUUUUGAUUUUGUGGAUUGUUUUUUUUUCUUUCAGUGUUGAUGUCACCUCCUUGACGAAUAGAAGAAAAGCCUGUAUUUGGGAUCCAUCCUUGAAGUCCAGUCCAGUCCAGUCCAGUGACACUCCACAGCGGGGAUUCGAACCGUGACCAUCCACAUGACAGACACACACCCUCUGUGUGAGCUAUCUGUCACACAAGGUCCCUGGUGGAGUUUGUUAUAAUGAUGGUUGCAAGAGGUUGUCAUGCAGCCAAAGUGUAAAAAGAGCCUUGAGCUGGAUUCAAACCAAGGACCUCCUGGAUGAGAAGCAGAUAACUUACCACUGCGCUAUCCUUCCUACUGGGUGUAGCUGUUAGUUUUCAUAAAUGAUGGUACACAAAAGUAUUAAGGAAGUGAAGAUAAUAAAGGUACUAAGGUACCGGGGAGGAAAAAAAACUUACCUCUACACCACCUGUCCUACAAGAUGUUGCUCUAACUUUGCUUAAAUGAUGCUAUCAAUUAGUACUGGCGCAACCAAACGACAAAUAAAAGGUGUGAGUGGAGAUCUGAAUCAUGUGAGGUUUGUUUCUGAGACUGAAUACACCCAAUCUCAUCUGAUCUGCAAAGCUAAGCAGGGUUGGGCCUGGUUAGUAUUUGGAUGGGAGACUACCUGGGAAUACCAGGUGCUGUAAGCUUUUUACUUCUCCUCACAACCUGAACAACACACUGCUAGCGACAGCUAUCAACUAAAACCUCUUGGUUUCUUUAUUAUACACUCUAUGAGGUGGAUAAGCUGCAGCUCAUGCUGAUUUAUUGCUGCUUCUGGUUGGAGCCAAAGAACAAAGGCUUCACCUGUUGGAGCAGCUGAUGUCCUGCAGCCUCUUCACCACAGAAAGCCUCUGACAGCUUCAAUUCUUUACACUCUGACUGCAAGACACCAAUCACAUAGGAACAUUUACAUGUAUGGAACAAAGAGCUGAGCUGACACUCAACAUGUGUUUGAGCAUUUAUUGAUAAAGACAUUCAAACAUGUCUAGAGAUAGAACACCAACGCACGGUGUAAGAAAGGUCAGAACAGACUUCACCUGCUCAGGAAACUGAGGUCCUUCGUGGUGCAGGGAGCAAUUCUGAGGACCUUUUAUGGUUGUGUGGUGGUAUCAGCCAUCCUGUUAGGAGUGGUCUGCUGGAGCAGCAGCAUCACGGCUGCAGACAGGAAGAGACUAAAGAAACUGGUUAAGAAAGCAAGCUCUGUCCUGGGCUGGUGGUAGACAGGAGGAUGAUGACAAAGCUGUUGUCUAUCAUGGAGGACAUCUCCCACCCCCUGCAGGAAACAGGACCAUCACCGGCAGCUCCUUCAGGGACAGACUGCUUCACCCACGAUGUUUGAAGGACAUCCUUCCUUCCUGCAGCAGUCAGACUGUGUUCAAUCAAGCCUGCUCCCAGUAGUUCAGAUCACCCAUGAAGUAACUGCAAUAAAAUGUAAAUAAGUCAAUAUGUGCAAUUUCACAGGGUUUUUUUUUUUACAAGCAUUUCUAUUUCUUCUCUAAGGAGAAAGCAUCUAUUUAUAUCUGUGAGUGCUGCUUUUUUUUUUUUUUUAAACUUUUUUUCCUAUCUGCUACUGCCACACUGAAAAUUUCCCCACUGCAGGAUCUACCUAUCCAUCCAGCUAUCUAUGGUCCAUCUACCUCCCUACCUAUCUAUCCAUCCAUCCAUCCAUCCAUCCAUCUCUCUCACAGAUGUGGGGGUUGAUUCACCUGUUCUCAAUCACCUUAAUCCACGAAGGCCCGGUUCUUCAUUCUUCCGCUCUCUGCCAGACCACAGACUUUGAAACCAGAACCUUUCUCCUACAAUUAGUCUGGUUUCCCCUUUUUGUUUUCACCUUGGUUUAGUUAUCCUUUCUGUGUUGGUUUUAGUUUCAUUCGUUAAAUAAACUCCUUGUAAUCUUUGA